GAUAUCUCGUUCUCCCCGAAAUAGCUUUAGGGCUAGCGUCGGGAGCUCACCUGUGGAGGUAGAGCACUGGACGGCCGCGGGGGCCUCACCGCCUACCAAAGCCGACCAAACUCCGAAUGCCACAGGUCCAGAUCCCGGCAGUCAGAACAUGUGGGCUAAGCUGUGUGUUCGAGAGGGAAACAGCCCAGACCGCCCGCUAAGGUCCCGAAGUCCGUGCUGAGUGGCAAAGGAUGUGCGUUUGCCUAGACAACCAGGAUGUUGGCUUAGAAGCAGCCAUUCAUUUAAAGAGUGCGUAACAGCUCACUGGUCGAGUGGACAUGCGCCGACAAUAUACGGGGCUAAGCACGGCACCGAAGCGGCGGGGUGGCGCCUUUGGGGCGCGACCGGUAGGGGAGCUUUCCGGCCUGCGGCGAAGCCGAGGGACGACCCUCGGUGGAGCGGCCGGAAGUGAGAAUGCUGGCAUGAGUAGCGAGAGCGGCGUGGGAAACGCCGCCGCCGUAAACCCAAGGUUUCCUGGGCGAGGCUAAUCCCCCCAGGGUCAGUCGGGAGCUAAGGCGAGGCCGGAAGGCGUAGCCGAUGCACAGCCGGUCGACAUUCCGGCACCCCCGACGCGGAGCUUGACCGACGGUGUGACGGAGAAGGGUAGCCGGACGGGGUUCUGGACGUCCCCGCGAUGGCGCGUAGGGCGAGGGGUUGUGAAACGCGCCCCUCACGACGCCCGAGGCGCCGGACGAAGCCUUAUUGGCGAAGCCGGUGAGCCCAUGCUUCCUAGAAAAGCACCUAGGGAUCCGCUAGGGGCCCGUACCGCAAACCGACACAGGUGGGUGGGUAGAACAUACCAAGGCGAUCGGGAGAACCAUGGUUAAGGAACUCGGCAAAACUGCCCCGUAACUUCGGGAGAAGGGGUGCCGGCGUGGCGUGGAGGGGCUUGCCCCCCGAGCGCGGGCCGGCCACAGCGAAGAGGUCCAAACGACUGUUUAUCAAAAACACAGGACUCUGCUCAAGCCGUAAGGCGACGCAUAGGGUCUGACGCCUGCCCGGUGCCGGAAGGUCACGGGGAGUGGUCAUCCUUUCGGAGAAGCCACGAACCCAAGCCCCGGUAAACGGCGGCCGUAACUAUAACGGUCCUAAGGUAGCGAAAUUCCUUGUCGGGUAAGUUCCGACCUGCACGAAAGGCGCAACGAUUUGGACGCUGUCUCGACCAUGGCCCCGGCGAAAUUGCACUAGUCGUGAAGAUGCGACUUACCCGCGGAAGGACGGAAAGACCCCGUGAACCUUUACUGCAGCUAGGCAUUGGCUGCCGGUACGUCGCGUAGAGGAUAGGUGGGAGGCUUUGAACCGAGGGCGCCAGCCCCCGGGGAGCCACCCUUGGAAUACCACCCCCGACGUUCUGGCAUCCUAACCCCACGCCCUGACCGGGGUGGGGGACCGUGCCUGGUGGGUAGUUUGACUGGGGCGGUCGCCUCCCAAAGAGUAACGGAGGCGCGCGCAAGGUCUGCUCGGGACGGUCGGCAACCGUCCUCUUGAGUGCAAGAGCGUAAGCAGGCUUGACUGCGAGGCCAACAAGCCGAGCAGGUGGGAAACCAGGCUCUAGUGAUCCGGCGGCC
rnacentral:rRNA from 1 species